rnacentral:rRNA from 1 species
GUCGAACGGUAGAGGGGGCAACCCCUCGAGAGUGGCGAACGGGUGAGUAAUAUAUCGGAACGUGCCCAGUCGUGGGGGAUAACGUAGUGAAAAUUACGCUAAUACCGCAUACGAUCUAAGGAUGAAAGCGGGGGAUCGCAAGACCUCGCGCGAUUGGAGCGGCCGAUAUCAGAUUAGGUAGUUGGUAGGGUAAAGGCCUACCAAGCCAACGAUCUGUAGCUGGUCUGAGAGGACGACCAACCACACUGGAACUGAGACACGGUCCAGACUCCUACGGGAGGCAGCAGUGGGGAAUUUUGGACAAUGGGCGAAAGCCUGAUCCAGCCAUUCCGCGUGCAGGAUGAAGGCCCUCGGGUUGUAAACUGCUUUUGUACAGAACGAAAAGGUCUCUAUUAAUACUAGGGGCUCAUGACGGUACUGUAAGAAUAAGCACCGGCUAACUACGUGCCAGCAGCCGCGGUAAUACGUAGGGUGCAAGCGUUAAUCGGAAUUACUGGGCGUAAAGCGUGCGCAGGCGGUUAUAUAAGUCAGAUGUGAAAUCCCCAGGCUCAACCUGGGAACUGCAUUUGAGACUGUAUAGCUAGAGUACGGUAGAGGGGGAUGGAAUUCCGCGUGUAGCAGUGAAAUGCGUAGAUAUGCGGCGGAACACCGAUGGCGAAGGCAAUCCCCUGGACCUGUACUGACGCUCAUGCACGAAAGCGUGGGGAGCAAACAGGAUUAGAUACCCUGGUAGUCCACGCCCUAAACGAU